UGGGGAAUCUUGCGCAAUGGGCGGAAGCCUGACGCAGCAACGCCGCGUGUGGGAAGACGGCUUUCGGGUUGUAAACCACUUUCAGGGGGGACGAAGCUUCCGAGGUUAAUAGCCUACGGGGUGACGGUACCCCCAGAAGAAGCCCCGGCUAACUACGUGCCAGCAGCCGCGGUAAUACGUAGGGGGCGAGCGUUGUCCGGAAUCAUUGGGCGUAAAGCGCGUGUAGGCGGCUCGAUAAGUCCGGUGUGAAAUCUUGGGGCUCAACCCCAAGCCUGCACUGGAUACUGUCGCGCUUGAGUCCGGGAGAGGAGAGCGGAAUUCCUAGUGUAGCGGUGAAAUGCGCAGAUAUUAGGAAGAACACCGGUGGCGAAGGCGGCUCUCUGGAACGGUACUGACGCUGAGACGCGAAAGCGUGGGGAGC
rnacentral:rRNA from 1 species